UACGUAGGGUGCGAGCGUUUGUCCGGAAUUAUUGGGCGUAAAGAGCUUGUAGGCGGUUUGUCGCGUCUGCCGUGAAAAUUUCGAGGCUCAACCUCGAACUUGCGGUGGGUACGGGCAGACUAGAGUGUGGUAGGGGAGAUCGAAUUCCUGGUGUAGCGGUGAAAUGCGCAGAUAUCAAGGAGGAACACCGGUGGCGAAGGCGGAUCUCUGGGCCAUUACUGACGUGAGGAGCGAAAGCGUGGGGAGCGAACAGG
rnacentral:rRNA from 1 species